rnacentral:misc_RNA from 1 species
AAAGAAUGAAGCAAAUUUUUCCUGAAAAAUAUUAUUUCAGCUUAAGUAUUGAAUGCAACUAUUUGUUUACUGAAGUACAGGUGCAAGAAUAUCAAGCACUUAUCAAACUACACCAACCAAGAAUUUAAAGCAAGCUCUGCAUUAUAAACGCAGAAGCAGUGGCAGAUUUAGGCUCCUAAAUUUGAGGCAAUACGGAUCUAGACUAAAAUUUGUGGGAGUGCAAAUAUACUUAUAUAAAAUAAUUAACAUGAAAUCUAAAUAAAAUAUUCACAAUUAGAGAAAAAAAAAAUCUUUUAUUUAUUAUAAAUAAAUGUUUAUAAUU